UCUCCCCUAGUCAAACCAGUGAGGGCCGAACUAGUACUCAGGUGGGUGACCACUGGGGAAUCCUCGGUGUUGUAUGUU
rnacentral:rRNA from 1 species